GGUCCCAUCGUCUAGUGGCCUAGGACGCUGGCCUCUCACGCCGGAAACAGGGGUUCGAGUCCCCUUGGGACCGCCA
rnacentral:tRNA from 1 species